CAAAGCUGCGAGGUUACGAACAGAAAUCGGAUACAAGGCCGGUGCGGACAGGUGAGUGAGCCAAUCAUCACGAAACCGUCUCCGUUCAUCCGCAUUGGUAAAUCCGGAGCUUGUGCAGCGAAAG
rfam:Fuerstia marisgermanicae strain NH11 chromosome, complete genome.